GAGGUAAGGUUAUUUGGAGGUAACACCCGCCAUUUCAUUGAUUACCAUUGACUGAUAUGGAUGGCUCUCCAGAAGGUUCCUUCCUCCCUAGCCACUCAUAUGUGUCUCUCCUGAGCAAUGUACUGGUGUGGAGAGGAUGGCCUUCCCUCAUAGAAGAAGAUAGUUAUUCAGUCAAGAAUAUAUGAAUAGCAGCACUCUUUUCAAAUAUUCCCUAAAGACUAAUGAGACCUCUACUCCCU
ensembl:misc_RNA 7SK 7SK RNA